GCAAUACAACGCACGCACACACACUGCAUCUUCUUCUCUCCUUAUAAAAACCGCCGUCCCUCCCAUUCGCUCUUGCCAUCCAUCCCCAUCCUUCCUUCCCUCCCUCCCUCCCCUGAGCUGGGCCGUGCUGUGAGGGUGGGGGGCAAGGCAAACCAUUCAAUCCAUCCCAGUCUCCUUCCCAUCCUCUGCUCAGGGCUCAGGCCGAGGUCCGUCUCCCCUGCCUCGCCUCCUACCAUGGCUGCCAGGUGGGCCCCGCCGGCCGGCCUCAUCCUGCUCCUGCUGCUGGCCGUCCUGCUGCCGGCGCGCGCGGACAGGCCGGCGAGGACCGGCCACGCGGACGACGACCCGGAGGCCUCCUCUGCCGUCUUCCAGCUCUACGGCAACGUCUACCCCCACGGGUUGUACUACGUGGCCAUGAGCAUUGGCAACCCGGCGAAACCAUACUUCCUUGACGUCGACACCGGCAGCGACCUCACCUGGCUGCAGUGCGACGCCCCCUGCGUCAGCUGCUCCAAGGUGCCACACCCGCUCUACAGACCAACAAAGAACAAGCUGGUACCGUGUGUUGAUCAGCUGUGCGCCUCUCUGCACGGCGGCCUCGGUAAAAACCUCAAGUGCGACUCACCGAAGCAGCAGUGCGACUAUGAAGUUAAGUAUGCCGACCAGGGUUCAUCCCUUGGCGUGCUCGUCAACGACAGUUUUGCAGUCCGCCUUGCGAAUGCCUCCAUUGUCCGCCCCAGUCUUGCAUUCGGGUGUGGGUAUGACCAGGAGGUCGGGAGCAGCACUGAGGUUGCACCCACUGAUGGUGUGCUUGGACUUGGGAGUGGAUCGAUCAGCCUGCUUUCACAGCUCAAGCAGCAUGGGAUCACCAAGAACGUGGUUGGCCACUGCCUCAGCAUGAGAGGAGGGGGAUUCCUCUUCUUUGGGGAUAAUCUCGUGCCUUAUUCACGUGCAACAUGGGUACCAAUGGCUAGGAGUGCAUUCAGGAAUUAUUACUCACCUGGCUCAGCAAGCCUGUAUUUUGGUGGCUGGUCACUUGGCGUGAAACCAAUGGAAGUAGUAUUGGACAGCGGAAGCUCGUUCACCUACUUUUCUUCACAGCCAUAUCAAGCACUUGUCACUGCACUUAAGGGUGAUCUAAGCAAGACGCUGAAAGAGGUGUCUGACCCCUCUCUGCCUCUAUGCUGGAAAGGAAAGAAACCAUUCAAAUCCGUGCUUGAUGUCAAGAAGGAGUUCAAAUCAUUGGUUCUGAACUUUGCCAAUGGCAAGAAGGCGCUCAUGGAGAUCCCUCCUGAGAACUACCUCAUCGUCACUAAAUACGGGAAUGCAUGUUUGGGCAUCCUUAACGGAUCAGAAAUUGGACUCAAGGAUCUGAACAUUGUUGGAGAUAUUACAAUGCAGGAUCAGAUGGUGAUAUAUGACAAUGAGAGAGGGCAGAUUGGAUGGAUCCGAGCACCCUGUGAUAGAAUCCCCAAUGAAAAUACCAUUCAUGGAUUUGAGGAAGGUUAUUGUUGGCCCCAGUUCCCCAGCAGCAUCUUUGGUAUUCAGAACGAAGAGUGUGCAGCUAACUACCGUUCGAACAAAGAGUGAAUAACAAGGGGGAGGCCAUUGGACAAAAAUAAUCAUCCCAGGGAGGCUCUAUAUACGAAGUAUUUCUGAAUUGGCUUUCGGAACUUGAUGAACUGAAACUUGAGCAACCAACUGAACCUACCCUUGUGCCCAAAUGUGAAACUUCAGUGUAACCAACUGAAGAACUGUGUUGCUGCCAUGACUUAUCACCUGAUGUUGGGUGGAGCCAAGGGAAGAUUGAUAUCAUGGUUUAGAUCUUGCAGUAGUCAUUCUUUAGUUGUAAGGAUGUCUGUAAGGUGAUGCUGUUAGUCCCAGGUAUGUAGGAAUGCCAGUCAGUUUAUUUCAGUAUAAUAUGUACAGUAGAGUUGUUCUUUGUGUAGUAGUCUUUGGCGAUGGCAGCCGUUGAACUGUGGUUUCCCC
rnacentral:rRNA from 1 species